rnacentral:rRNA from 1 species
UACCAGCACCCCGAGUGGUCGGGACGAUUAUUGGGCCUAAAGCCUCCGUAGCCGGUCCUACAAGUCUUCCGUUAAAUCCACCUGCUUAACAGAUGGGCUGCGGAAGAUACUAUAGAGCUAGGAGGCGGGAGAGGCAAGCGGUACUCGAUGGGUAGGGGUAAAAUCCGUUGAUCCAUUGAAGACCACCAGUGGCGAAGGCGGCUUGCCAGAACGCGCUCGACGGUGAGGGAUGAAAGCUGGGGGAGCAAACCGG